AAAGGGGCUUCGGCCCUGAGUAAAGCGGCGCACGGGUGAGUAACACGUGGGUAAUCUGCCCUCGAGUGGGGAAUAACACCGGGAAACCGGUGCUAAUACCGCAUACGAUCACGAUGUCUUCGGAUGUUGUGAUGAAAGGAGCAAUUCGCUCUUGGAGGAGCCCGCGGCUGAUUAGCUAGUUGGUGAGGUAAUGGCUCACCAAGGCUGCGAUCAGUAGCCGGUCUGAGAGGACGGUCGGCCACACUGGAACUGAGACACGGUCCAGACUCCUACGGGAGGCAGCAGUGGGGAAUUUUUCGCAAUGGGGGCAACCCUGACGAAGCAACGCCGCGUGGGUGAUGAAGUAUCUCGGUACGUAAAACCCUUUCGACGGGGAAGAAAACCGCAAGGUUUGACGGUACCCGUAGAAGAAGCCCCGGCUAACUCCGUGCCAGCAGCCGCGGUAAUACGGGGGGGGCAAGCGUUGUUCGGAAUUACUGGGCGUAAAGGGCGCGUAGGCGGUUUGUUAAGUUGAAUGUGAAAACUCUGGGCUUAACCCAGAGCCUGCAUUCAAUACUGGCAGGCUAGAGUUCUGGAGGGGAUAGCGGAAUUCCUGGUGUAGCGGUGAAAUGCGUAGAUAUCAGGAGGAACACCGGUGGCGAAGGCGGCUACCUGGACAGAGUCUGACGCUGAGGCGCGAAAGCUAGGGGAGCAAACAGGAUUAGAUACCCUGGUAGUCCUAGCCCUAAACGAUGGAUACUUGCUGUAACUGGGAUUGAAUCCAGUCGUGGCGAAGCUAACGCAUUAAGUAUCCCGCCUGGGGAGUACGGUCGCAAGGCUGAAACUC
rnacentral:rRNA from 1 species